CACAUAAACAUUCAGGCCAACCUCAGUGCACAAUCAUCUCCAGGGAAAUUACCUGUGAUUUCCAACAUAAAACUAUCCACAAUGCACAUACCCAGUUCCACUCAUGCACACUUUAUUUCUGACUGUAGAUUUACUUCCAACAAAACAACAGAUUCAAGUUAAGGGGCUGGAUCACCAACUAUUGUAAACCAUCUCAUUAUCAGCUGUGGAGCUCCACUAAUUUCAUCAGAUAGUAUUUGACCUGAAGUCUGCCUAGGUCAAAUAGGGAGCAUUGUGCCUAAGUGAUUUGGAGAAACUGGAUGAAUGGAUGAAUACAUCAGAAAAAUGGAAUUAAGUUUGCUGCAGCCAUGGGGAGCAGUAGGGUUUCAACAGAAGUGGACAAGAAAAUUAAAACUGUUGUGAUUCAAAGAGAGCCGAAUAGAAAGAGAAGCAAAUAAGCUGAGAAUGGAACGCCUUUUAGAACUGCAGAUACAAAUAAGUUUCAAAAUGUUUCAGCAGUCUUCUGACAGUACCAGAGCUAACAUCAAAAACUACAGGGCAUCUUUUAUCAGGUUCAAGGUACAUCUACAAACUGCAGAUUCUAUGCCGAACCUUUGAAAGUAUCCCAGGACCUUUUAAACAGUUUCACUUGAAUAAUUAAAGGGAGAAGCAACAUGUAAAGCCGGCAUGGACGAAGUAAAGUCACGCUGCUACUCGCACCAAAACCUGUCUCUGGGUCAGACAGAUAGUGAUUUCUACACUGAUACACAGGUGAU
rnacentral:lncRNA from 1 species